UUAUUCCAGGUUAUGCUGUGAACAAAUUAUACAAAUAUAGGAGUCGACAAAGCGAGGCACUUGGGCAGAUGGAAGGUUUACACAGCAAAGAAUUAUAGCUGAUCCUGUGCCACAGAGUCCAGAGCUGAUGCUGUGCCACAAUCUCCAUACCUAAACACCACUGGGAGAAAGCUAGCCUCCCAGGAGUUUGGACAAGCCUAUAAGCGCAAGUAAGACCACCACUUCUGCUCAGAGGGACCUGCCCAGAACCCUCAGUACACAGGAACCGAGGAGCAACGUGAGACAGGAGCCUUCCAGUUUUCCUCUGCGCCACAGCACGAGGGAGCUGGGGAGUGCCCACAAGUGAAAAUCACCACCCGUCAAGUCUCCAGGGUUCCAGACCUUUCCUCGACAGAAGAAGAAGCAAUGUGCAGCCCACUGCUCCAUAUCUGAUGCCUUCUCUGGUGUGUAUGAAGACAGCAGCAGUGUACUCAUACAAAUAAAAUAAAUAAAUCUCUAAAAAUAUUUUAAAAAGCAAUGCCUAAAUGUGCAACAAUGUCAUUGAUAGCGUGACAAUAAUGAACAGCUCUUUUAGUUUACUUUUCACAUGAUCAACAGUAUGAAUACCAUGACUAGUGCUGAAAACUUAAUCAAACACCCAAAGCUAGUGAUUUUAUUGAUCUUAGAGGAAAAUAUAUUAUUAUCUAUUUAUUAAACCAUUAUGAUUUCUAACUGCGUACUAAGUUCUUAUCUUUAUACCUAUGGAUAAGUAUAUCCCUUAACCUUCACCAAAAAGAAUUCUCUUUGCAACAAAGACUAUGGCAAAACAAAUGCAACAACAACAAAACUGACCACAACUGGUCAAAACAUAGAGAGCAAUGAGUCGUGGGGUACACAGUAUCUAGGUAUACAACUACAAAACCAUCCCUGUACCUAAGAUUCAGGGAACAAUCAUGAAAAGGAAGGAGGGUCUAAAUCAUAAGCACCAAAGGACCAGGAACUCUUUUAGAAGACGUCUUCUAGAAAUGACAGAGAAGCUAAGUGAAAAAUACCUCAAUAGUAUAGCUUCCUAAAGAAUAAAUGAACAAGUACAGAACCAAUAGAAAAUCAAACACGGAAGGGGAAAAGCUCAUGUAAUUCUACCCCAUGAUCAAUGGGCCACUAAAGGAUGCUGAAAAUGAAAGGAGUAGAUUUCAUGCAUUGAGAAGUAUUCAUAUUGGUUGUCCAGUACCAGGUUUCAGCAUUGAAAUAAAUCAUGGACAUUCAACACAAAAUAGACUUAGCAGAUUGUACCCACAUAUUUAUGAAUAUGCAUAUGUAUACAUACAUAUGUUAUAUAUACAUAUAUUACAUAUACAUGUAUACACACACAUAUAUUUGAAAGGGAUGAAGGCAUGAGAAUAUUGUAUAUGGAAAGGGAACUGAGAGAAAUAAUGUAAUUACAUUUCUCCCUUCCUUUUCCUUUUCUGAAACCUCCCAUAGAGCCUUUUCUGAUCUCUUUAAAACUUACUGGCGUCUUUUCCCAUCAAUUAUUAUUGCAUGAAUGCACAA
rnacentral:lncRNA from 1 species